UAUCCACAUGGCGUUGGCCUUGGCCUCUUGAGCAAUCUCAACACUAGAAACUAAAGCUUGAAGAGGAAAAAAAGAAAAGAAAAUAAUUAAUUCAAUGGAGAAAUUUGCUCAAGAUUUGAAGGAGAGAUUUCUUCAUCUGGUUGAAGCCAUCAGAUCUUGCAAAACUGCUAAAGAAACUGAAAUUGGAGAGGAAACCAAUUUGAAGACUGUGAAGAAAGUCAAGGUGCAAUCUAGACAACUUAAUAUCACAACAAGGGGUCCGACAACCGCAAAAGUGUCUGUAGGUGCUCCUCCUCAGACCGAUUAAAGUUCAAUCAAAGGCGAUGUUUUUUUUCUGGAUUAAGGUGAUUGAGAUUGUGAAUAUAAUAAGAUUGAGGGAUGUGAUUAUUGGCGUGGUGAUAUUAAGUUGGAAAUGUGUAAGAUGAAUGUAUUUAUUUGUAUAGUAGUGUGAUGAUAUUAAUUUGUUUUGAUUAAAUCUAUGAAACUACAUAAAAACUUUCAUUAUGUAAAAUAUAGUUUUGUUAUUUUGUAAAUUGAGGACAAAACAGUCUUUAGAUUAGUAAUCCCAAUCUCCUUUGAAAAUCCUAAUUCCACAAUUUGGGGGGAUUCAUAGUCUA